CCUACGGGUGGCAGCAGUGAGGAAUAUUGGUCAAUGGACGCAAGUCUGAACCAGCCAUGCCGCGUGCAGGAAGACGGCCCUAUGAGUUGUAAACUGCUUUUGUACGAGGGUAAACGCAGAUACGCGUAUCUGUCUGAAAGUAUCGUACGAAUAAGGAUCGGCUAACUCUGUGCCAGCAGCCGCGGUAAUACGGAGGAUUCCAGCGUUAUCCGGAUUUAUUGGGUUUAAAGGGGGCGUAGGCGGGCGUAUAUGUUAGAGGUGAAAUCCCGAGGCUCAACGUCGGAAUUGCAUAUGAUACUGUACGGCUAGAGAGUAGUUGCGGUAGGCGGAAUGUAUGGUGUAGCGGUGAAAUGCUUAGAGAUCAUACAGAACACCGAUUGCGAAGGCAGCUGACCAGGGUACUUCUGACGUUGAGGCACGAAAGCGUGGGGAGCAAACAGGAUUAGAUACCCUGGUAGUC
rnacentral:rRNA from 1 species